CGGUCAGUCGGUCUGUCGGUCUGUCGGUCCGUCCACCAGGUGGUUGUCAGACGAUAACUCAAGAACGCUUGGGCCUAGGAUCAUGAAACUUCAUAGGUACAUUGAUCAUGACUCGCAGAUGACCCCUAUUGAUUUUGAGGUCACUAGGUCAAAGGUCAAGGUCACGGUGACCCGAAAUAGUAAAAUGGUUUCCGGAUGAUAACUCAAGAACACUUAGGCCUAGGAUCAUGAAACUUCAUAGGUACAUUGAUCAUGACUCGCAGAUGACCCCUCUUGAUUUUCAGGUCACUAGGUCAAAGGUCAAGGUCACAGUGACCCGAAAUAGUAAAAUGGUUUCCGGAUGAUAACUCAAGAACGCUUAGGCCUAGGAUCAUGAAACUUGAUAGGUAGAUUGAUCAUGACUCGCAGAUGACCCCUAUUGAUUUUCAGGUCACUAGGUCAAAGGUCAAGGUCACAGUGACCCGAAAUAGUAAAAUGGUUUCCGGAUGAUAACUCAAGAACGCUUAGGCCUAGGAUCAUGAAACUUGAUAGGUAGAUUGAUCAUGACUCGCAGAUGACCCCUAUUGAUUUUCAGGUCACUAGGUCAAAGGUCAAGGUCACAGUGACCCGAAA